rnacentral:rRNA from 1 species
UACAGAGGUCCCAAGCGUUGUUCGGAUUCACUGGGCGUAAAGGGUGCGUAGGCGGUUGGGUAAGUCUGAUGUGAAAUCUCACAGCUUAACUGUGAAACUGCAUUGGAUACUAUCCGGCUAGAGGAAUGGAGGGGAGACUGGAAUACUUGGUGUAGCAGUGAAAUGCGUAGAUAUCAAGUGGAACACCAGUGGCGAAGGCGAGUCUCUAGACAUUUCCUGACGCUGAGGCACGAAAGCCAGGGAGCAAACGGG